AACGAACGCUGGCGGCAGGCUUAACACAUGCAAGUCGAGCGCCCCGCAAGGGGAGCGGCAGACGGGUGAGUAACGCGUGGGAAUCUACCCAUCCCUACGGAACAACUCCGGGAAACUGGAGCUAAUACCGUAUACGCCCUUUGGGGGAAAGAUUUAUCGGGGAUGGAUGAGCCCGCGUUGGAUUAGCUAGUUGGUGGGGUAAUGGCCUACCAAGGCAACGAUCCAUAGCUGGUCUGAGAGGAUGAUCAGCCACACUGGGACUGAGACACGGCCCAGACUCCUACGGGAGGCAGCAGUGGGGAAUAUUGGACAAUGGGCGCAAGCCUGAUCCAGCCAUGCCGCGUGAGUGAUGACGGCCCUAGGGUUGUAAAGCUCUUUCACCGGUGAAGAUAAUGACGGUAACCGGAGAAGAAGCCCGGCUAACUUCGUG
rnacentral:rRNA from 1 species